rnacentral:lncRNA from 1 species
GGCCACUGCCCGUGGGUCAUUUCCACCGUGGUCAGUGUGGUGUCAGAGCCGGGCCACUGCCCGUGGGUCAUUUCCACCGUGGCCAGUGUGGUGUCGAAGCCGGGCCACUGCCUGUGGGUCAUUUCCACCGUGGCCAGUGUGGCGUCGAAGCCGGGCCACUGCCCGUGGGUCAUUUCUGCUGUGGUUGGUGGUAGUGAGCCCAGGUGGUUCUGGGUGGCCUGAGCGCUGCCCAGCACCCACUCCCCAAGCCCUGCAGGUGGUGACUCCAAUGAGCAAAGGCCAAUGGCUGUUUUACAGAAAACAGAGGGCACCUUCCUGGCCAUCACCCGGCCUCCUGCCUUCACACAGAAUCCCCCAGCUCCUGGUGCAGCAGUGCUGGCCUGGCCUGUGGC